GAUGAACGCUGGCGGCGUGCCUAAUACAUGCAAGUCGAGCGAACAGAUGAGGAGCUUGCUCCUCUGACGUUAGCGGCGGACGGGUGAGUAACACGUGGAUAACCUACCUAUAAGACUGGGAUAACUUCGGGAAACCGGAGCUAAUACCGGAUAAUAUAUUGAACCGCAUGGUUCAAUAGUGAAAGACGGUUUUGCUGUCACUUAUAGAUGGAUCCGCGCCGCAUUAGCUAGUUGGUAAGGUAACGGCUUACCAAGGCAACGAUGCGUAGCCGACCUGAGAGGGUGAACGGCCACACUGGAACUGAGACACGGUCCAGACUCCUACGGGAGGCAGCAAUAGGGAAUCUUCCGCAAUGGGCGAAAGCCUGACGGAGCAACGCCGCGUGAGUGAUGAAGGUCUUCGGAUCGUAAAACUCUGUUAUUAGGGAAGAACAAAUGUGUAAGUAACUAUGCACGUCUUGACGGUACCUAAUCAGAAAGCCACGGCUAACUACGUG
rnacentral:rRNA from 1 species